GGGUUGUGAGGUUAAGCGACUAAGCGUACACGGUGGAUGCCCUGGCAGUCAGAGGCGAUGAAGGGCGUGCUAAUCUGCGAUAAGCGCCGGUAAGGUGAUAUGAACCGUUAUAACCGGCGAUACCCGAAUGGGGAAACCCAGUGUGAUUCGUCACACUAUCAUUACGUGAAUACAUAGCGUAAUGAAGCGAACCGGGGGAACUGAAACAUCUAAGUACCCCGAGGAAAAGAAAUCAACCGAGAUUCCCCCAGUAGCGGCGAGCGAACGGGGAGGAGCCCAGAGCCUGAAUCAGCAUGUGUGUUAGUGGAAGCGUCUGGAAAGGCGCGCGAUACAGGGUGACAGCCCCGUACACAAAAGCGCAUGUGUUGUGAGCUCGAUGAGUAGGGCGGGACACGUGGUAUCCUGUCUGAAUAUGGGGGGACCAUCCUCCAAGGCUAAAUACUCCUGACUGACCGAUAGUGAACCAGUACCGUGAGGGAAAGGCGAAAAGAACCCCGGCGAGGGGAGUGAAAAAGAACCUGAAACCGUGUACGUACAAGCAGUGGGAGCACCCUUUGGGGUGUGACUGCGUACCUUUUGUAUAAUGGGUCAGCGACUUAUAUUCUGUAGCAAGGUUAACCGAAUAGGGGAGCCGGAGGGAAACCGAGUCUUAAUUGGGCGUUAAGUUGCAGGGUAUAGACCCGAAACCCGGUGAUCUAGCCAUGGGCAGGUUGAAGGUUGGGUAACACUAACUGGAGGACCGAACCGACUAAUGUUGAAAAAUUAGCGGAUGACCUGUGGCUGGGGGUGAAAGGCCAAUCAAACCGGGAGAUAGCUGGUUCUCCCCGAAAGCUAUUUAGGUAGCGCCUCGUGAACUCAUCUCCGGGGGUAGAGCACUGUUUCGGCUAGGGGGCCAUCCCGGCUUACCAACCCGAUGCAAACUGCGAAUACCGGAGAAUGUUAUCACGGGAGACACACGGCGGGUGCUAACGUCCGUCGUGAAGAGGGAAACAACCCAGACCGCCAGCUAAGGUCCCAAAGUCAUAGUUAAGUGGGAAACGAUGUGGGAAGGCCCAGACAGCCAGGAUGUUGGCUUAGAAGCAGCCAUCAUUUAAAGAAAGCGUAAUAGCUCACUGGUCGAGUCGGCCUGCGCGGAAGAUGUAACGGGGCUAAACUAUGCACCGAAGCUGCGGCAGCGACACUAUGUGUUGUUGGGUAGGGGAGCGUUCUGUAAGCCUGUGAAGGUGUGUCGUGAGGCAUGCUGGAGGUAUCAGAAGUGCGAAUGCUGACAUAAGUAACGAUAAAGCGGGUGAAAAGCCCGCUCGCCGGAAGACCAAGGGUUCCUGUCCAACGUUAAUCGGGGCAGGGUGAGUCGACCCCUAAGGCGAGGCCGAAAGGCGUAGUCGAUGGGAAACGGGUUAAUAUUCCCGUACUUGGUGUUACUGCGAAGGGGGGACGGAGAAGGCUAUGUUGGCCGGGCGACGGUUGUCCCGGUUUAAGCGUGUAGGUGUGUGUUCCAGGUAAAUCCGGUUCACUUUAACACUGAGGCGUGA
rnacentral:rRNA from 1 species